UUCCCUUAGUAACGGCGAGUGAAACGGGAGAAGCCCAGCCCUGAAUCCCUACGUCAUAUGAUUAAUGGGAGAUGUGGGGUUUGGGAGUGCCGGUGGGACUGUGCGUUUGCCUGCGUUCUCCUGAUCGAGGCUUGACCCAUAGAGGGUGUAAGGCCUAUUUGGCAACACGCGUUGUCUCUAGGGUGCUCCUUGGAGUCGGGUUGUUUGUGAAUGCAGCCCUAAGUGGGUGGUAAACUCCAUCUAAGGCUAAAUAUUUGUACGAGUCCGAUAGCAAACAAGUACCGUGAGGGAAAGUUGAAAAGCACUUUGAAGAGAGAGUUGGACAGUACGUGAAACCGUUUACAGGUAAACGAAUGGGACCGCAAGAUUGGCCUAGGGUAUUCAACCCACCCGCAAUGGUGGCGGCCUACGAUGGCACUAAGCCGUGUGUAUGUACCGUGUGUGCCUGAGUGGGUGGAUGCAGUUACCCAAGAGCUGAACGCUAUGACGGUGUGUCGGGAGGUCGGACGCGCUUCCCCAAGGUAGUCGUGGAAUUGUUCAUGGCGUUAUAGGGGGAAUUGAUAUGCUGACUGCCUGGUGCGCGAGGAACUCGGGCCGUAUGUGCUAACCUUUGUUCGCUCGGCGGUGAUGACGGGCGAGGACUGCAUGCAGUGUUCUGCCGACUUUUACUGUUGGGUUCUGAACGGGGAUGAAGUGCGUGAGCUUUUAGGGUCGGUAGCGGAUGUCGGCACCCCAUUCGACCCGUCUUGAAACACGGACCAAGGAGUCUGGCAUGUGCGCAAGUCAAAGGGACUACAGAAUCCCCAGGGCACAAUAAAAGUAAAGGGUUGGCUUCGGUUGAUCUUAGGUGUGAUCCCGGGAUUUCCAUAUCCUGCGCGCAACACCGGCCCGUCUCGUAGCCGUAGUGCUUGGGGCGGAGCUUGAGCGCACAUGCUGGGACCCGAAAGG
rnacentral:rRNA from 1 species